rnacentral:snoRNA from 1 species
UGCAGUCAAGUCAAAUUCAGUGCCCGUUCCUGUCAUAGGCGGGGGCUGGCCCAGAUGGCUGCCACAGCCAAGCUCCACAGCUCAUGGGCCCUGGAUCACCUACCCUGGGACCUGGGGAAUUAAGUUUGGCUGUGGACAGUG